rnacentral:tRNA from 1 species
GCGGGCGUGGCGGAACCGGUAGACGCGCGGGUCUCAAAAACCCGUUCCUUCUGGGAGUGUGAGUUCGAGUCUCACCGCCCGCA